CAAGUCGAACGAAGUAGCAAUACUUAGUGGCAGACGGGUGAGUAACAUGUAGGUAUCUACCCUUUGGCCUGGAAUAACACGAGGAAACUUGUGCUAAUACCAGAUAAGUCUUUACGGAGAAAGCUUUAUGCACCAUUGGAUGAGCCUGCACUUGAUUAGUUUGUUGGUGGGGUAAUGGCCUACCAAGACUGUGAUCAAUAGCUGAUUUGAGAGGAUGAUCAGCCACAUUGGGACUGAGACACGGCCCAAGCUCCUACGGGAGGCAGCAGUGGGGAAUCUUGCACAAUGGAGGAAACUCUGAUGCAGCGAUGCCGCGUGAGUGAAGAAGGCCUUUGGGUUGUAAAGCUCUUUCGUCGGGGAAGAAAAUGACUGUACCCGAAUAAGAAGGUCCGGCUAACUUCGUGCCAGCAGCCGCGGUAAUACGAAGGGACCUAGCGUAGUUCGGAAUUACUGGGCUUAAAGAGUUCGUAGGUGGUUGAAAAAGUUA
rnacentral:rRNA from 1 species